rnacentral:rRNA from 1 species
UACGUAGGGACCAAGCGUUGUCCGGAAUCAUUGGGCGUAAAGAGCGUGUAGGCGGCUUGUUAAGUCUUGUGUGAAAUCUCGGGGCUCAACCCCGGGCGGUCAUGAGAAACUGGCAGGCUAGAGUGCGGGAGAGGGAUGCAGAAUUCCAGGUGUAGCGGUGAAAUGCGUAGAUAUCUGGAGGAAUACCGGUGGCGAAGGCGGCAUCCUGGACCGGCAUUGACGCUGAGGAGCGAAAGCUAGGGGAGCAAACGGG